rnacentral:rRNA from 1 species
GACGAACGCUGGCGGCGUGCUUAACACAUGCAAGUCGAACGGAAAGGCCCUGCUCUUGUGGGGUGCUCGUGUGGCGAACGGGUGAGUAACACGUGAGUAACCUGCCCUUGACUUUGGGAUAACUUCAGGAAACUGGGGCUCAUACCGGAUAGGAGCUCCUGCUGCAUGGUGGGGGUUGGAAAGUUUCGGCGGUUGGGGAUGGACUCGCGGCUUAUCAGCUUGUUGGUGGGGUAGUGGCUUACCAAGGCUUUGACGGGUAGCCGGCCUGAGAGGGUGACCGGCCACAUGGGGACUAAGAUACGGCCCAGACUCCUACGGGAGGCAGCAGUGGGGAAUAUUGCACAAUGGGCGGAAGCCUGAUGCAGCAACGCCGCGUGCGGGAUGACGUCCUUCGGGUGGUAAACCGCUUUCGCCGGUGACGAAGCGUGAGUGACGGUAAUGGAUAAAGAAGCACCGGCUAACUACGUG